rnacentral:lncRNA from 1 species
AGAGAGUCUUCCGUUCCCUGAUGGCGAAGAAGUCAGCCCUGAAAUCAAAGUAGAAACUCUACCAGAGGAGCCUACAGCCACUCCUCCAGAAGUAGAGCCCUGGUACGAUGAUUACUACGAAUAUGGAAGGAAGGGGAAAGAAGACGAGACGGACGACAAAUGGCAUCAGAAGGAGAGAGAGAGAGCAGAAAAAGAGAGGGCGAGGGAAGAGAGAGGUAAGGAAACCCAGAUGUGACUUUUGUUUUUCUUUCUUUCUCUUACGUAACAUCGCUCUGCAC